rnacentral:rRNA from 1 species
GGAAGGGGUGUAUUUAUUAGAUAAAAAUCAACUUUGUUGGUGAAUCAUAAUAACUUCUCGGACCGCAUGGCCUCGUGCUGGCGGUGCUUCAUUCAAGUAUCUGCCCUAUCAACUGUCGAUGGUAGGAUAGAGGCCUACCAUGGUUGCAACGGGUAACGGGGAAUAAGGGUUCGAUUCCGGAGAGGGAGCCUGAGAAACGGCUACCACAUCCAAGGAAGGCAGCAGGCGCGCAAAUUACCCAAUCCCAACACGGGGAGGUAGUGACAAUAUGUAACAAUAUACGGCCUUAUACGUCGUAUAAUUGGAAUGAGUACAAUUUAAAUCCCUUAACGAGGAACAAUUGGAGGGCAAGUCUGGUGCCAGCAGCCGCGGUAAUUCCAGCUCCAAUAGCGUAUAUUAAAGUUGUUGCAGUUAAAAAGCUCGUAGUUGGACCUUGGACCUGGACAGGCGGUCCGCCUCACGGCGAGUACUGUCUUGCUGGGUCUUUCCUCUUGGUGAUCUGUUGUUUCGGCAGCGGGGAACCAGGACUUUUACA